rnacentral:rRNA from 1 species
CGGCACGGGUGAGUAACGCGUGGGAACCUGCCUUGUGGUUCGGGACAACCUCGGGAAACUGGGGCUAAUACCGGAUGAGCCGGGAGUCUGUGGUGGACUUUCGGGAAAGAUUCAUCGCCAUGAGAGGGGCCCGCGUCCGAUUAGGUAGUUGGUGAGGUAACGGCUCACCAAGCCUUCGAUCGGUAGCUGUUCUGAGAGGAAGAUCAGCCACACUGGGACUGAGACACGGCCCAG